UUACGGUAGGGGUAUUUUUAAACUGGAGUAAAUACGUUAGGGACACAAAUAUGUCAGAAUUUUAACGGUAGGGGCAUUUUUUUCAAAAUAGGUUAACGGAUGACAUUUUUAAACUGGAGUCAAUACGUUAGGGGCAAUUCUGACCCUUUUUUUUUCCGACAUACUAAAAAAGAAAGAGUGUCACAUAAAUUCCAAUGGAAUAUGUUAAAUCCCUAGUCAUGUCACAUGGACAAAUAUAACAAACUUUCUA
rnacentral:lncRNA from 1 species